rnacentral:rRNA from 1 species
UUCCCUACGGGGCGCAGCAGUAGGGAAUUUUCGUCAAUGGGCGCAAGCCUGAACGAGCAAUGCCGCGUGAACGAGGAAGGUCUUCGGAUCGUAAAGUUCUGUUGAAGGGGAAAAAGAGCGGAGAGAGGAAAUGGUCUCCGACUGAUAUUACCCUUCGAGGAAGUCACGGCUAACUACGUGCCAGCAGCCGCGGUAAUACGUAGGGGGCAAGCGUUAUCCGGAUUUACUGGGUGUAAAGGGAGCGUAGACGGUGCGCCAAGUCUGGAGUGAAAUGCCGCAGCUUAACUGCGGAACUGCUUUGGAAA